rnacentral:lncRNA from 1 species
GGGAGAUGGGGCUGAGAGUCCGCGGCUCCCCGCAGCACCGGCGGCUCGGGGCGGCCGACGGGAGGCUACGGGCGGGGGGCCCGCAGCAUGGGACCACCGCCCUCGCUGGCACCCCCAGCCUGGCCUGUCCCGCUGUUGCUGGGGGUCCGCGGUGGCGUUGGAGCCUCGGCUCUGCUGCUGGGGGGAGAGGGGAUGUGUGAAGAGCGGUGCAGAGAUAAAAUCCUGUCGCCUUUGUUUUGUGGAGAAAAGACAACAUCAGCUCCCGGCCAAACAACAGAGUCGUUAAGCGAAGGCAUCUCCGGCCAGGGGCUCGGAGCCACAUCCCGGAGCUGGAAUGAGGAACCAGCUGGCGUCCUGGCCCCUGGGGUGCUGUCUCCCGCAGCGCUCAGCAUUCCUCCCAGGACCAGAACCAGAUCCAUCAGCACUCAGCAUUUCCCCAAGGACUACAGCAGCUCCCCCAGGCCUCAGCAUCUCCCACAUACACCCCCUUCCCCCACUCCAGACCAUAACCACCUUCCCUAGGGCUCAGCAUUUCCCCGGGGAUCACAGCAUCUGCUCCAGGAGUACAGCAUCCCUCCAGAACCACAGUACUCCCCGCCAGGGACCGCAGAAUCCCAUGAAGGACCAGCAGCAUAGUGGGGUGGCUGUGAAGCUUUUCAGCCCCACCAACACCCCACAUCCCAUAAGGACUCAGAGACAUGUCCCAGACAACAUGCAAGGGGAAUCUACAGCCCUGGAGUGAGCAGAUUCUGGGGGGGGCAGCAGGUAGAUGGCCCCAGAAGUUGGGCAGAUGGGAUGCCCGCGGGCAUGGCUGGGCAGGGAUCGGUGCCAGGGCUCAGGGAGUGGGAGUGGGCAGCAAGGGGGGGUUGUGAUGGUGGGGGGUGUGGGAACGCUGCCUCAGGAAACCAGCAGGAUUUACUGGGCUACACACUAAAUCCCCCUCACAAAAAGGGGCCUGUUCGUGCGGACAGGAUGCUGGUGGCUCAGCCACACUUGUUUGGCCAGCAGAGCCUGGCGGAUUAAGGACAAUUGGUUCAGCCCUGACAGAAAAUACCAGGAAUGUUAAACAAUAAAAACUGCCUCCAGUUGUCGUGGGGCUGCA